ensembl:lncRNA
CCUUCGAGUCGCGCGCCGCCGCCCGCACCCACGUCUUCUCGCCGCGCCACCUGGCCACGCUGAGGACCACCAACUUCGGCCAGCCCGCCACGCUGGUCAACAAGAACGGCAGCAGCGCCGGGGGGUCCGGUAACGGCGGCGGCGGCGGCGGAAGCACGCAGGCGGCUCCCCCGGCGCUCUCCGUCCCCAGCUCCGGGAGCUCCGGCCGGGCCUCUGAAGGGGAGGCGGGCGGGGAGGCUCCGCCCCCCAAAGCCAGCAGCAACAGCUAGAGACCCUCGUCUGGGUUGAUCUCCAAAUAACUCUUCCUGGACCCGUUUGGGCUCAUCAGAUUUUAAUGAACACGACUUUGAGCACUAACCCUCGGAAGCUUAUAUAUCGUUUUUCUUUUUUGUUUUAAGUGCACUCUUCUCGCAGCCAAACUCUUUUUGGGUUCAACCCCCCCUCCACCGAAAUGAAAUCCGAAAAUGGAGUUUAAUCACUAGGGUUCAUCCUGAAUCUAUCCCGACCCACUACUGCCUCUGCAUUAAUCAAUAGCUCUCGAAUUAGCCUGUACAUGUAUCAAGACGCCGCACACGAGAGACAGAGAGAGAGAGAGAGGGUUCUGGGACUGUGAUAUUACCCUCCAUACGCACCCCAUCCCACCUUGCCUCCAUUACUACCCUUCACAUGCUUGUUCGUUGUCCGUAACUCGCACGACUGAUGCAAACGGAGGAGCCCCUUGACGCUGAGCCUGCACACCUUUUUGGGACUUCAAAUGUUAACAUUGCUCUCUCCCAGUUUGCGCCUUUGAAAUGUAUUUCAUGUAUUACGUCUACUUUGUCGAUUUUAGAACAACAUUUAAUGAGUGGAAUGAACCAGUGGAGCAGGCGACUGUCCGGCCGGGUUGACCCUUCACCCCUGUGACCUUUGACCUGGCUGCGACGCAGUCUGAAUGGGCGCUUGGUCUGACUUGGGAUUUUUACGAAAAACAAACAAACCAAAAAGCAAUCUUGAGGUCGACAGAGGGCAGAAGAGGAGUCGUUCAAUGCAAACUGUAACGGACCCCCCAAUGGGCGUUUCGCAGCCGUCACACGAUUUUUGCACAAGUUACUGGUCGUUCCGUUGGAGCCUCCACCCACUAACCAACAUGUCCAGAGGUCAGAUUACGGAUGGCUUUGAAAGGCCAUCUUCCCUGCUCCAAUGUUUCUUCCUGGUUGGAAUCUGUAUCUUGUGUCUAAAGUAGGGAGCGGAGGACCUUGAUACUGGGAUUAUACACACACACACACGGUGUUGCACUGUUCAAACUAGAUAGGUUUUAUGGAGAUCUGCUUUUUUAUUAUGUUUCAUUGUCACUUUGAUUAUCACUAUUGUUAUAACCGUACUACUACUUAUCCUAUUAUCAUUACUACUCAUCACUGUUUUGAAUAUUAUUGAUCCAUAACGGGGUUUUCAUGUCACCACCUUGCUCAGAGGAAUAUGGUAAAGGUUUGACCAGUGAUGGUGGCAGCAGCGUUAUGAAUUGUUAGAACUUUGAUUAUUAAGCUUGAUUAAUUUUGUUUUUUCUUUCUACAAUUCAUGUGUUCCCGCCUUUUUGUGUUUGGUCUCCAUACUGCUUUCUUUGUUAUACAGAAAAACAAAUAAAAUCAAUUGACAACGA